rnacentral:rRNA from 1 species
UACGUAGGGUGCAAGCGUUAAUCGGAAUUACUGGGCGUAAAGCGUGCGCAGGCGGUUUUGUAAGACUGUCGUGAAAUCCCCGGGCUCAACCUGGGAAUGGCGAUGGUGACUGUAAGGCUAGAGUUUGGCAGAGGGGGGUAGAAUUCCACGUGUAGCAGUGAAAUGCGUAGAUAUGUGGAGGAACACCGAUGGCGAAGGCAGCCCCCUGGGUCAAAACUGACGCUCAUGCACGAAAGCGUGGGGAGCAAACAGG